CUACGGGUCGCAGCAGUGAGGAAUAUUGGUCAAUGGGCGCAAGCCUGAACCAGCCAUGCCGCGUGAAGGAUGACAGCGCUACGCGUUGUAAACUUCUUUUGUACAGGAAGAAACGCUUCUACGUGUAGAAGUUUGACGGUACUGUACGAAUAAGCAUCGGCUAACUCCGUGCCAGCAGCCGCGGUAAUACGGAGGAUGCAAGCGUUAUCCGGAUUUAUUGGGUUUAAAGGGUACGUAGGCGGAAAAUUAAGUCAGUAGUGAAAUCCCGCAGCUUAACUGUGGAACUGUUAUUGAUACUGGUUUUCUUGAAUGUAGUUGAAGUAGGCGGAAUGUGUAAUGUAGCGGUGAAAUGCUUAGAUAUUACACAGAACACCGAUUGCGAAGGCAGCUUACUAAGCUAUGAUUGACGCUGAGGUACGAAAGCGUGGGGAGCGAACAGGAUUAGAUACCCUAGUAGUC
rnacentral:rRNA from 1 species